rnacentral:tRNA from 1 species
GUUGAUGUGGCAGAGCCCGGACUUGCAAAAGGCCUAAGCCCUUUAUACAGGGGUUCAAGUCCCCUCGUCAACU